GGAUGUGAGGGUGAUCUGGCUGUCACAUCUUUCCCCCCAUUGGUCUCCAGGGUUGAUCUGGCUGGCUAGGCAGGUGUCCCUUUUCUUCUUUACCAGUCCAUGUGCAUCCCUCCAGAAGCUGCCCACUCCCUGGUAGGUGAGAUGAUAACCUUCCCCAAAUAGAGGAGGACUGGUCUUCCUUCAAGAAUAUAUGAGUAGCUGUGCUCCCCUGCUAGACACUUCAAAUAAGCUCUCAAAGUCUGUUUGUACGAGAAAGUGGGGUAGUCAAGUUUACAAGACUCCAGACACAUCCAAAUGAGGUGCCACAUGUGGCAGUGUACCUUUCUUA
rnacentral:snRNA from 1 species